ensembl:lncRNA
ACAUGACGUAAUCUUUUUGUCGUAUAUAUGUUGACAGUAGUCUCAGCUGUUGAUUCAAGUACUCUUCAGAUUCCUUUUGAAAGUAGGCCUUUGGACAGGAUAGGCUUACAGCAUUCACUUCAUGUAGCUUAAUGAUACAAUAUAUAAUAAUGCAACGACUUAUUCCCUAAAUAUGGUUAGUUAAUAGACUAUAAUAAACCGUUUCUGUUAUGCAUGUAGCCUAUGAAAUGGUAGGCUGUCAAGUUAUUAGGGAAACUAGAAUAAUUAGUUACACUACAGCGCCCCCUUCAGGAUAUGGCACAGAUUACACCCUGUUUAUUGUUAUAAGACAUGAUGAAAUAUUUUAUAAACAUAAACAAAACAUAGAAACAACUACAUCAUCACCCGUAGCCAGACCCACUAGCAGAACCGCCACGUUGUUUCCUUAUAACGUCCUCUAAAUGUCCUAUUAGAGUCAUCUGUUCUUAUUGAACAUUGAUUUCUAGAUUUACAAUCUUGCACUUAUUUUGUCCAUGUUGUGAUUGUGUAAAGAGGGACCCAAUGACGCUCCUUCCCAACUGGCACAUUAUUAAACUGUAAAACAGGGUUCAAAACAUUAGGAACACCUUCAUAAUAUUUAGUUCAGAACAGUCUCAAUUUGUCAGGACAUGGUCUCUACAAGGUGUCCAAAGCGUUCCACAGGGAUGCUGGCCCAUGUUGUCUCUAAAAGGUGUCUAAAGCGUUCCCCAGGGAUGCUGGCCCAUGUUGUCUCUACAAGGUGUCCAAAGCGUUCCACAGGGAUGCUGGCCCAUGUUGACUCUACAAGGUGUCCAAAGCGUUCCACAGGGAUGCUGGCCCAUGUUGACUCUACAAGGUGUCCAAAGCGUUCCACAGGGAUGCUGGCCCAUGUUGUCUCUACAAGGUGUCCAAAGCGUUCCACAGGGAUGCUGGCCCAUGUUGUCUCUACAAGGUGUCCAAAGCGUUCCACAGGGAUGCUGGAGGGGGGCUAUCCCAUGUUGUAC